rnacentral:rRNA from 1 species
CAGGUGCUGCAUGCUGUCGUCAGCUCGUGUCGUGAGAUGUGGGUUAAGUCCCGCAACGAGCGCAACCCUUAUCUUUAGUUGCCAGCACGUUAUGGUGGGAACUCUAAAGAGACUGCCGGUGACAAACCGGAGGAAGGUGGGGAUGACGUCRAGUCAUCAUNCCUUAUGGCCAGGGCUACACACGUGCUACNAUGGUCGGUACAGAGGGUAGCCAAACCGCGAGGUGGAGCCAAUCCCAUAAAGCCGAUCUUAGUCCGGAUUGCAGUCUGCAACUCGACUGCAUGAAGUCGGAAUCGCUAGUAAUCGUGGAUCAGCAUUGCCACGGUGAAUACGUUUCCG